CCAUCCCUCUUAGGUUGCACUGGUCAGUUUAUUUCCCUAGACGUUCAGACAUGCAGGCUGUCCUGCUUGUAGGCAGGGGUCUUCAAGAGACACAGUGAGAAGUCAUGGUUUUUGUUUGUUUGUUUUUGCAGCCUGGCAGCCAGCCUCCGGAGUUAAUCGUACAUGCUGGCCUGCAAGGGUCGUUAUCAGGCUAGAAAGCAGGCACCACAAAGCUGCCUUUACUGGCAACUCAUGCAACUGUAAACUAGUGCCUGUAAGAUCCCCUAACAGGAAGUUCUAGCCUUACAAAGAUCGGGUGAUCAUCCAUCAGCCAGCGAGCGAGUCCUGGCAAUGGCCUAGGAGCAGGAGCGGCAUAGGCACUCUGAAGAAAGCGCUGUUAAGCUUUUCUGGUUCACGUCUAGUGAACCUGGAAGUCAUUGUGUAUCCCAGGCUGACCUGGAAUUCACAGAGAUCCUCCCUCUGGCUCUUGAGUGCCGGAAUUAAAAGUGUGAGUCACCAGGCCCACCAUAUACCACCGUAUAAGACCAUUUUUUUUUUUAACUCAUAACUUUUUAAAGAAGAAGAAGAGGAGAAGGAGACCUCUUCUUAGUGUGAAAACUGGCUUCUCGUGAUGUCUUUAAAGCAGUGGUUCAUUGGGAUAGUAUUUCAGAUGGUGUCUUGAGGCCUCCAAGGAUAUUGCAGACCCAAACUUCAUCUCACACUGAGCUGUCUGAGACAAACACAAUCCCAGCACUUGGAAGCUAGAAGCAGGCAGGUCAGAAUCUCAAGGUUAUCUUUGGCUACACAGCAAGUUUGAAAUUACCCUGAGGUACGUGAGAUCCGGUCUCAAAAAAAAAAAAGCCUUGAAACAAGGACUUUCUCCCAUCUGGAACCCUUGGAUGAAAGGCCAAGUUUAUGCCUGGACGGUCAUGCCCAAAAGCUUCUCUGAUAUCACAUUCUGCGGAUCCUGAAGGUCAGCCUAGCAUUUCAUAUGUGGAUGACUUCCUCUGGACUCCUUCACAGCAGCAUGUGAAGGUACUUUUGGCUGCCAAGGGCUGUAAGGUUUGGUUUUGUUUCUUUUGACACAGGAUUCCGUGGCUGUGCUGGACUCACUCUGUAGACCAGACUGGCCCCAAACUCACAGAGACCCACCUGCCCCUGCCUCCCCAAGUGCUGGGAUUACAGGCGAGCCUGGCUUGUUUUGUUUUCACUUGCAGUGCGCACUGUGGAGGCUGGCGUCUCACCUUGUAGUUCAGGGUAGCCUCAGACUUGCGAUCCUCCUGCCUUAGCGUCUUUGAUGCUGGGAAUAUAGUCACGAAUCACCACACCUGGAUUAAAAAGGGGAGCUUAGAGACACAGGUGAAAUGUAAAUUGUUGCGGUCGUUAUGGGACACAGAAUUAAGUUCCUCAAAAAGUGUAAACAGCAGCUGGGUGUGGUGGUGCCCGCCUUUAAUCCCCCCAGCACUUGGGAGUCAGAGGCAGGAGGAUCUCUGAGUUCGAGGCCAACCUGGUCUACACAGUGAGUCCAGGCAGGUAGCUCUGUGAGUUUCGAGCCAGUCAGGGCUACAUUAAAAGAUUUUAUCUAAAAUAAAUAAAAGAUUUAAAGUUC